rnacentral:sRNA from 1 species
UGUUCAUGUGGAUCUCCAUGGGAUUGGU